GUGGGGAAUAUUGGACAAUGGGCGAAAGCCUGAUCCAGCCAUGCCGCGUGUGUGAAGAAGGUCUUCGGAUUGUAAAGCACUUUAAGUUGGGAGGAAGGGCAGUAAGUUAAUACCUUGCUGUUUUGACGUUACCGACAGAAUAAGCACCGGCUAACUUCGUGCCAGCAGCCGCGGUAAUACGAAGGGUGCAAGCGUUAAUCGGAAUUACUGGGCGUAAAGCGCGCGUAGGUGGUUUUGUAAGUUGGAGGUGAAAUCCCCGGGCUCAACCUGGGAACUGCCUCCAAAACUGCAUGACUAGAGUACGGUAGAGGGUAGUGGAAUUUCCUGUGUAGCGGUGAAAUGCGUAGAUAUGCGGAGGAACACCGAUGGCGAAGGCGACUACCUGGACUGAUACUGACACUGAGGUGCGAAAGCGUGGGGAGCAAACAGGAUUAGAUACCCCAGUAGUCC
rnacentral:rRNA from 1 species